GGGUGGUUAGCUCAGCUGGUUAGAGCGCACGGUUCACAUCCGUGAGGUCGUAGGUUCAAAUCCUAUACUACCCA
rnacentral:tRNA from 1 species